CCAAUGCAAUGCAAGCAAACCUGACAUGCUCUAGGAUUAGGAACCAAAAUCCUAGGCAUGUGUGACCUCACAAACAAGGUGGGUCCACUCCCCUUCUAUGGGUGAAUGACCUCAUCCUUUUUGACCCAAACUUGCUGUUAGUUUUUGAUUGGCUACAUUCUGUUGACAAAAAUCACUAUCAUGUAAUGUUGCUGUUUUCACAGGGAUGCCGAAUAUUUCAUAAAAGUGUUACAAGAUGUUCAAAGAAGAUUCUAUGCAGAUUCCAACUCAGAGAAGUCAGAUCCCAAGAUUCGGACUAGACAGCGCAGUCAUGCGUCUAGACGCCCAUCAGUGUCUAGAAGAUUCUCAAUGCUUCAAUGUACAUCCAUUUGGACGUCAUGGCAACACGUCCGGACGCACAUCAAAGUUUGAGAAGAAUUAAGUUUUCCUUCACAGACACGUAUAUGGGAAGACAGCUGCAUCCGUCCGAACGUCAGGGCAACAUCGUCCGGACUAGGUCCUUAAUAAGGGAAGUCGUGGAGAAGAAUUGCAACCGUCCGGAUGUCAAGGCAACACCAUCCGGAUGCGGUCUUUAUUAUGGUAAUUACGUGCAUUAGGAGAUGCAACUGUCUCGACUCUAGGGCAACACCAUCCUUACGCGGCCUUUAUAUGAAAACGCGAGGAGCCCGUUAUGGAAAGCUGAUUGCACAGAAGACCGUCCGGAAGCCGCCUAGAGAAAUCAAAGACAGACUCGAUUUAGGUCUUCUUAGCCUAUAAAUAGAGGCCUCUAGGCAUGUACUCUAUACAGAAUUCAGUAUUGAAUUCUUUAUAGCUUAGAGAGGGUGUUUAGGGAGAAAUUGUGAAGAUCCGCUAGCUCUCAAGCCGUUGCUGUUGUGUUGUUGCUGUGCUCAUUUUUUAAGUCUAUCUUAGGAAGGAGCCCUAAGGUAAAGGAAUCCAUAGAAGACCCCUUCAAGUAGGUGACUUGGUUGGGAGGCGUUCACGUUGGGUUAUAUGUCAGAGGGCAAGAUACGAUCGCUGCAUCGGGCCUUCAUCUAGUUGUCCAUCCAUCUCAGCAAGUUCCGCAUCAAAAUAGGAGCAAAUCGUUGCUGUUUCCGUUGAUGCUGUGGAGCCUGAUAUCCUACCAGAGGUAGCUUGUCUUGGUGGCUCCUUCUUGAUCUUCGAUCUCUGAGCUUUGAGAAGUGGACACUUGGGUCGACAUGACCAUUCAUGCCACAGUGGUGGCAUAUGGGAGGCCCUCUCAUGGUAGGAGGCUUCUGCGUGGACUCUGUAACAACCGAAUCAUCUUCACCAAUGAGAGCCUUUCCCUUAUCCAUGUAGGCGGGAGGAAGCUCGGGGAUUGUGGGCAUGACAAACACAGUCUUGGAAGUAGAAGGGAUAUCAGAAGUAGAGGUUACAUACCCGAGUCCUAUCUUGUCUAUUGGGCUCUUUUGGACUGAUAGCAUGUGGGUCAGCUUCUCAUCAGUCAGCCUCUCUAUUUGCAACUGUGCCUCCAACAUCUUUUCUUCUAGAUCUGUGAUCUUGAUAAGCAUUGUGCUUAUCUUCGUCUUUAGCUCGUUCAGUUCCUGUACAUGUUGUUAGCGUGUCUCCCUUAGCUUCAAGAGCUUUACAUAGAGGACUUUGUAUGCCUCUUUUAGUUCUUCCCCAUUUUCAUCACUACUCUCAGAGUAGUAUGAUUAUGAUCCUUCAGAUUCUUCAUGAGGUGCUACGAAGGUCAGAAACUUCUAAUCCUUGUUUGGGGUCUCCUUUUCUUCAGAUUUGCUGAGAGUAGCAUUGUAAGCCUUCCCUUUGGCCUGCUUGAGAUUCCCACAAUCUGCCCGUAGGUGCCCAAAACCAGAUCAUUCAAAACAUUGGGGACCCCUAGGAUCCUUCUUCUCAGCUUCCUCCGGCUCGACUUCUUUGGGGACUUUCCUUAGUCUUUCGAUAAACUUCUUCUUGAAUUUAUCAUUCUUCAUCAAUCUACCGAAGUUCUUAAGGAAAGAAGAGGUUUUAAUAAAAAAUACAGGUUUUGGUGAGCAUAGCAACUACAUCCUCUUCUUCAUUGUCAAAAUCUUUUUGGAUGCUUUGAGGACAAUUGCCUUUGCCUUUCUGACUGGGGGCAGGGAAUUCUCAUAAGUUUGAAGAGAUCCUACCAACUCUUCAAUCUUCAUUGACUCUAGGUCCUUGCUUUCCUCAAUUGUUGUCAUCUUGAUUCUGAAACGCUCAGGCAAAGACCUUAGAAUAUUUUUGAUGAGUUUUACAUCAGAGACAUUCUUCCCGAAACUCACCAUAGAGUUUCUCAAGUCGCCGAUCCUAAUGUAAAACUCAUUGAAUGUCUCAUCUUCCAACAUCUUAAUUUCUUCCAAUUUUAAAAUCAACAUUUUGAACUUGGAAGAUUUAACAAUUUUUGUGCCUUCAUAUGUUGUUUCCAAAAUUUGCCACGCUUCUUGAACAGAUUCACAUUUUGAAAUUUUUGGGAAUUCAGACGGUGAAAGAGCAUGGAGGGCUUUAUCAUUGGAAAGUCGUGCGCUAGUUUGAGCAACUGUGAAUUCAUCAGUUGUAUCCUCUGGCUUAAACCAACCAGAUUCUACAAUCUGCCAAACAUUAAUAGAUUUUUAAAAGAAGCGCAAACACUCUUUCUAAUAGCCAUAAUUCGUUCUGAGUUUGAGACAAGAUAAAAUAAGGAGUCAAGGAUUGCAUUCAGGAAAUUAAUCCAAUAAUA